GAAUUAGCCCGUCACCUCCGACCUGGAACUCUGCGUGCUGUCUUUGGGAAGGACAAGAUUCAGAAUGCUGUUCACUGCACAGACCUUCCUGAAGACGGGCUUUUGGAGGUGCAGUACUUCUUCAAGAUUCUGGACAACUAACAGCCUCCAUCCUCACCCCUUGCAAAAGAUGCACACAGAACAGUGUGUUCAUUCAUUUAUUUGUCCAAUGUUUCAACCUGACUGAAAUACAAGAUCAACAAGAGCACUGUACUCCUGGCUAUUAUUACAUGUUAGAACAUAGAGUUUUGCACUUUAGACAACAUUUAACACCAUUCUAUGGGGUACUGCAUUGCUUUUAUAAAGUUUAAAAUAAAGUUUUAUUUUCAAACAUGUGACUUUGGUUUAUUUCAUACAUUACACUUUCUUGCAGAAAAAAUAAAAUUGUACAACUGCAUAAAUAUAAAAUUCUUCCACCAUGAAAAUGGCUAAAACAUUCAAUAAAGACAUUAGCACCACAGUGUGCGAUGCCUUCAGCAGG